rnacentral:lncRNA from 1 species
CUCACGAAACGCAACAAGCUGGAAAGAAGAAGAUGAAGUUUGUUCAAAUCAAGUAACUAAGGACCAAUUAAUGAAGAGGAAGGCAAUGCACUCGACUGCCUUCGUGUCAUCUAAAACUUUCCAUGCCAGGGCUUGUUCGUAGGUUACGGUGCGACCUGUGCUGGACAUGCGCACUCCUGCUGGAAGGGAGCAAUAACCCUGUUCCAAAAGAAAAAACAUCAGCAAUGAGAGAAGCUAAAUCACUAGUAGGAAAAGAAAGCAGACCGAGGAGGGUGUCGAUCUUCUAUUCAUAACAACAAAUUAAUGGUUAAGGCAGAGAAUGAGAAAUACCUGUUGCAAAACUUGAGUAAACGUAGCAUAUGACAACUUGCGGUCGUUCUCAUUCAGAGUCUUCUCCCAAUUCAGAUUCUGCAGAGAGCUUGUAGCGGUUUCGAACAUCUCAAGGCCUGAUCGAUUGGCAAACACGAACUCUGGCAUUCCCUGUGAAAAAGCACAAUGUCCCUUCGUCAACAAGCCCGCUAAUCAUUCAUGGCAGAGAACUAGUUAUGUAAGUUUUAAAAUGGUAACUACAAGAAGGCUUUGAAGAGGUAAGCCUCUAUUUGCUUAACAGAUAAAGCGACAAAAUAAAAGUCUUUCCUUGAUUUUUUAUCUUUUUAUCUUUUAAUCUUCAUUUCCUUAAGAUUUACCUUCCACGCACAGCACACAAUAGCAUCUGUGUGAUGCCAGAAUGCCUUGAAAAGAGCUUCGUCACUUCCAUUCUCUGGUCUCACCAGAUCAAUACCCAGGUGGAACCUAGACAUAAAAUACGUUACAAUUAGCUGACGCCACCUGACAAGAAGCUAAAGACAUACUUGGCAAAAACCCCAUCCCCUAAAGAGUAAAUACGAUCCAGUACAGAUGGUACAAUGAAGUGAGAAAUUGCAAACAAAUAAGGUAUUGAUGGACUAAAGAAGCGGUAUGCGUUUUCAAAAAUCACCUGUAGCUGCUCAGAACAUGGCAUGCUAAGGAAAGUGCAUCUGGAUUACUAGGUGCUUGGCGAGGGGGAGCUGCUCCUCGAGAAGGAGCUAAUGCCAUUGCUACCCGUUGGACUGAUGCCACUACAGUGCGCACAUAUUGUCGAGCCAUAGCUGCAACAGUUUCACGUGUGUGCACCUCGUACGCAAACUGAAAUGCAAUCGUGAGAACAGACCGCAUCUGGCCGGAGCUGCUAUUCGAUUUCACAUCACCGUUCAGGCGCAAAUCAUUCCCUCCUUCUAGAGUAGAAGCUAAAUCAAGCGUCCGAUCAAG